rnacentral:rRNA from 1 species
ACACAUGCAAGUCGAGGGGCAGCAUGGUCUUAGCUUGCUAAGGCUGAUGGCGACCGGCGCACGGGUGAGUAACACGUAUCCAACCUGCCGUCUACUCUUGGCCAGCCUUCUGAAAGGAAGAUUAAUCCAGGAUGGGAUCAUGAGUUCACAUGUCCGCAUGAUUAAAGGUAUUUUCCGGUAGACGAUGGGGAUGCGUUCCAUUAGAUAGUAGGCGGGGUAACGGCCCACCUAGUCAACGAUGGAUAGGGGUUCUGAGAGGAAGGUCCCCCACAUUGGAACUGAGACACGGUCCAAACUCCUACGGGAGGCAGCAGUGAGGAAUAUUGGUCAAUGGGCGAUGGCCUGAACCAGCCAAGUAGCGUGAAGGAUGACUGCCCUAUGGGUUGUAAACUUCUUUUAUAAAGGAAUAAAGUCGGGUAUGCAUACCCGUUUGCAUGUACUUUAUGAAUAAGGAUCGGCUAACUCCGUGCCAGCAGCCGCGGUAAUACGGAGGAUCCGAGCGUUAUCCGGAUUUAUUGGGUUUAAAGGGAGCGUAGAUGGAUGUUUAAGUCAGUUGUGAAAGUUUGCGGCUCAACCGUAAAAUUGCAGUUGAUACUGGAUGUCUUGAGUGCAGUUGAGGCAGGCGGAAUUCGUGGUGUAGCGGUGAAAUGCUUAGAUAUCACGAAGAACU